UACUGGCAAGCUUGAGUCUCGUAGAGGGGGGUAGAAUUCCAGGUGUAGCGGUGAAAUGCGUAGAGAUCUGGAGGAAUNCCGGUGGCGAAGGCGGCCCCCUGGACGAAGACUGACNNNACAGGUGCGAAAGCGUGGGGAGCAAACAGG
rnacentral:rRNA from 1 species